rnacentral:rRNA from 1 species
GAUGAACGCUGGCGGCGUGCCUAAUACAUGCAAGUCGAGCGAACAGACGAGGAGCUUGCUCCUCUGACGUUAGCGGCGGACGGGUGAGUAACACGUGGAUAACCUACCUAUAAGACUGGGAUAACUUCGGGAAACCGGAGCUAAUACCGGAUAAUAUAUUGAACCGCAUGGUUCAAUAGUGAAAGACGGUUUUGCUGUCACUUAUAGAUGGAUCCGCGCCGCAUUAGCUAGUUGGUAAGGUAACGGCUUACCAAGGCAACGAUGCGUAGCCGACCUGAGAGGGUGAUCUGCACCACGGGACCAGAGACAGGGCCCAGACUCCUACGGGGGGCGCCAGAGGGGAUUCUCCCGCAAGGGGCGAACUCUUGACAGAGCGACGCCGCGUGAGUGAAAAAGGUCUACGUAUCGUAAAACUCUUUUAUUGGGGAAAAAAAAAUGUAAAAGUAACAAGCCCCGUUUUGCCGGUACCAAAACAAAAACCCCCGGCUAACUCCGUC